rnacentral:lncRNA from 1 species
UGAUAUAUCCCACAUUUUGCUAUUAAGUACACUUUCCCAUUCAUCAACAUAAGGUUUAGUGCGCAAGAGGCCCCCCAGUGUUUUAACAGCCAGUGGCAGUCCCCGCACCUUUGAACUAUUUUCUGGCCGAUCUCCUGCAGGUCUGGCAGAUCACUGAAAUUGGACCUUCCCAGUGCAUGCUUUGCAAACAAAGACAGGCUAUCCUCAAAUGACAGUUCUUUCAAAAGGUAACAUGGAAAAGCACUCAUCAUUAAUGCAACAUCUUGAUUUCGAGUUGUGAGGAUGAUUCUACUCCCAGGGGAUGUCACUUGGAAAGGACGGCGAAGGACAGUCCAGUCAUCAUAGUUCUCAUUCCAAACAUCAUCUAAACAACAAGAAAACUUCUUCCCGCCAAUUUCUCUCUCAGCCUAAGUUGAAGCAGAUUCAAAUCCUUCGCAUCGUAACUCCCCGAAACUGCCUCAAGAAAUAGUUCUCGUAACCCUAACAACAUCAAAAUCCUCAGAAACACAACACCAACUUUGAAAUCGAAAAACUUAUCUACUUUCUCAUCAUUGUGACAAGCUGAGCAAGAGUGGUCUUACCCACCCCACCCAUCCCUACAAUAGGAAUCACACCAUUCCCGUACUCAUCACACCCUUAUCACUAAAAAGCAACUUCAAGAUUUCCUCUGUAUCAUUAUCCCUACCAGAAACAUAAGAAAGAUCCACUAAAGAAGUACUGGGCAAUCUUUUCCUCUUCAACACCCCUCCACUGCCAUUCUCUCUAAGCUCCAGAUUAUUCUUCUCUUGAGCAGUUUCUUGCAAUCUAGCAGUAAUUCUCUUAAAUCUUGGAGUCUAUUUUGUAGUUAGAGCAAAUUACCAGGAUAAAAAGAGGUUAAGAACCGGGUAUGGCGCUCUUCGCCUUACUUGAGUUAGCUCGUUCUUCCUCUUUAAGUCAGUGAGAACCCCGUCGAGCAAAUCUUCAAUAUCAUAGGCCAAUUCACGGAUCUGAUCAAGCCAGAGUUUGACAGCAUGGCUUUCAUCUGCUUCUCCUCUGCGUCAGCAAGAACAGCAUGGUCAUAUGCAAAUUUGCCUCCAGUUUCUUGAUAUCAGAGUGGAUUUUUCCUCUGGCGAGCGAGCUUGAAAGAGGCUAAUUGGUUGAUUAUAUGCCUGAUCGUAGCUGAAAGGAUGCGUCUCCGAUAACAAGAGCCAUAAUUAAAUUGCUGCCUCUGGGUCGCUUGCAAAUGGCUAUCGCUUAGAAAUUAAAGCAGAUCGAAGGAAAGAAAGAACCAAAGAAUGGGGUUUGUAUGUAAACUGAAGAGUAAGAGUGGUUUGUAUUCUGGCGAGCUACAAGGGUUUGUGUGUUAACUGGAAAGUAAAGGUGGUCGUUUUGGUGAGAAUCGGAAGAGCGGUUCAGCAGGAAUGCCGAGACCGAUCUCGUAUGCCGUCUUCUGCUUGCUGAGUCGGAGACACGCAGGGAUGAGAUGGCGGCCGCACUGACCCUAUAGUGAGUCGUAUUAAUUUCAAAUCAUACCAACAUGGUCAAAUAAAACGAAAGGCUCAGUCGAAAGACUGGGCCUUUCGUUUUAAUCUGAUCGGCACGUAAGAGGUUCCAACUUUCACCAUAAUGAAAUAAGAUCACUACCGGGCGUAUUUUUUGAGUUAUCGAGAUUUUCAGGAGCUAAGGAAGCUAAAAUGGAGAAAAAAAUCACUGGAUAUACCACCGUUGAUAUAUCCCAAUGGCAUCGUAAAGAACAUUUUGAGGCAUUUCAGUCAGUUGCUCAAUGCACCUAUAACCAGACCGUUCAGCUGGAUAUUACGGCCUUUUUAAAGACCGUAAAGAAAAAUAAGCACAAGUUUUAUCCGGCCUUUAUUCACAUUCUUGCCCGCCUGAUGAAUGCUCAUCCGGAAUUUCGUAUGGCAAUGAAAGACGGUGAGCUGGUGAUAUGGGAUAGUGUUCACCCUUGUUACACCGUUUUCCAUGAGCAAACUGAAACGUUUUCAUCGCUCUGGAGUGAAUACCACGACGAUUUCCGGCAGUUUCUACACAUAUAUUCGCAAGAUGUGGCGUGUUACGGUGAAAACCUGGCCUAUUUCCCUAAAGGGUUUAUUGAGAAUAUGUUUUUCGUCUCAGCCAAUCCCUGGGUGAGUUUCACCAGUUUUGAUUUAAACGUGGCCAAUAUGGACAACUUCUUCGCCCCCGUUUUCACCAUGGGCAAAUAUUAUACGCAAGGCGACAAGGUGCUGAUGCCGCUGGCGAUUCAGGUUCAUCAUGCCGUUUGUGAUGGCUUCCAUGUCGGCAGAAUGCUUAAUGAAUUACAACAAUACUGCGAUGAGUGGCAGGGCGGGGCGUAACCUACGUGACAGAAGUCAAAAGCCUCCGGUCGGAGGCUUUUGACUUUCUGGAUCAUCGGCCGCAUCGAAUAUAACUUCGUAUAAUGUAUGCUAUACGAAGUUAUUAGCGAUGAGCUCGGACUUCCAUUGUUCAUUCCACGGACAAAAACAGAGAAAGGAAACGACAGAGGCCAAAAAGCUCGCUUUUAGCACCUGUCGUUUCCUUUCUUUUCAGAGGGUAUUUUAAAUAAAAACAUUAAGUUAUGACGAAGAAGAACGGAAACGCCUUAAACCGGAAAAUUUUCAUAAAUAGCGAAAACCCGCGAGGUCGCCGCCCCGUAACCUGUCGGAUCACCGGAAAGGACCCGUAAAGUGAUAAUGAUUAUCAUCUACAUAUCACAACGCGCGUGGAGGCCAUCAAACCACGUCAAAUAAUCAAUUAUGACGCAGGUAUCGUAUUAAUUGAUCUGCAUCAACUUAACGUAAAAGCAACUUCAGACAAUACAAAUCAGCGACACUGAAUACGGGGCAACCUCAUGUCCGAGCUCGCGAGCUCGUCGACAGCGACACACUUGCAUCGGAUGCAGCCCGGUUAACGUGCCGGCACGGCCUGGGUAACCAGGUAUUUUGUCCACAUAACCGUGCGCAAAAUGUUGUGGAUAAGCAGGACACAGCAGCAAUCCACAGCAGGCAUACAACCGCACACCGAGGUUACUCCGUUCUACAGGUUACGACGACCAUGUCAAUACUUGCCCUUGACAGGCAUUGAUGGAAUCGUAGUCUCACGCUGAUAGUCUGAUCGACAAUACAAGUGGGACCGUGGUCCCAGACCGAUAAUCAGACCGACAACACGAGUGGGAUCGUGGUCCCAGACUAAUAAUCAGACCGACGAUACGAGUGGGACCGUGGUCCCAGACUAAUAAUCAGACCGACGAUACGAGUGGGACCGUGGUUCCAGACUAAUAAUCAGACCGACGAUACGAGUGGGACCGUGGUCCCAGACUAAUAAUCAGACCGACGAUACGAGUGGGACCAUGGUCCCAGACUAAUAAUCAGACCGACGAUACGAGUGGGACCGUGGUCCCAGUCUGAUUAUCAGACCGACGAUACGAGUGGGACCGUGGUCCCAGACUAAUAAUCAGACCGACGAUACGAGUGGGACCGUGGUCCCAGACUAAUAAUCAGACCGACGAUACGAGUGGGACCGUGGUCCCAGUCUGAUUAUCAGACCGACGAUACAAGUGGAACAGUGGGCCCAGAGAGAAUAUUCAGGCCAGUUAUGCUUUCUGGCCUGUAACAAAGGACAUUAAGUAAAGACAGAUAAACGUAGACUAAAACGUGGUCGCAUCAGGGUGCUGGCUUUUCAAGUUCCUUAAGAAUGGCCUCAAUUUUCUCUAUACACUCAGUUGGAACACGAGACCUGUCCAGGUUAAGCACCAUUUUAUCGCCCUUAUACAAUACUGUCGCUCCAGGAGCAAACUGAUGUCGUGAGCUUAAACUUGUUCUUGAUGCAGAUGACGUUUUAAGCACAGAAGUUAAAAGAGUGAUAACUUCUUCAGCUUCAAAUAUCACCCCAGCUUUUUUCUGCUCAUGAAGGUUAGAUGCCUGCUGCUUAAGUAAUUCCUCUUUAUCUGUAAAGGCUUUUUGAAGUGCAUCACCUGACCGGGCAGAUAGUUCACCGGGGUGAGAAAAAAGAGCAACAACUGAUUUAGGCAAUUUGGCGGUGUUGAUACAGCGGGUAAUAAUCUUACGUGAAAUAUUUUCCGCAUCAGCCAGCGCAGAAAUAUUUCCAGCAAAUUCAUUCUGCAAUCGGCUUGCAUAACGCUGACCACGUUCAUAAGCACUUGUUGGGCGAUAAUCGUUACCCAAUCUGGAUAAUGCAGCCAUCUGCUCAUCAUCCAGCUCGCCAACCAGAACACGAUAAUCACUUUCGGUAAGUGCAGCAGCUUUACGACGGCGACUCCCAUCGGCAAUUUCUAUGACACCAGAUACUCUUCGACCGAACGCCGGUGUCUGUUGACCAGUCAGUAGAAAAGAAGGGAUGAGAUCAUCCAGUGCGUCCUCAGUAAGCAGCUCUUGGUCACGUUCAUUACCUGACCAUACCCGAGAGGUCUUCUCAACACUAUCACCCCGGAGCACUUCAAGAGUAAACUUCACAUCCCGACCACAUACAGGCAAAGUAAUGGCAUUACCGCGAGCCAUUACUCCUACGCGCGCAAUUAACGAAUCCACCAUCGGGGCAGCUGGUGUCGAUAACGAAGUAUCUUCAACCGGUUGAGUAUUGAGCGUAUGUUUUGGAAUAACAGGCGCACGCUUCAUUAUCUAAUCUCCCAGCGUGGUUUAAUCAGACGAUCGAAAAUUUCAUUGCAGACAGGUUCCCAAAUAGAAAGAGCAUUUCUCCAGGCACCAGUUGAAGAGCGUUGAUCAAUGGCCUGUUCAAAAACAGUUCUCAUCCGGAUCUGACCUUUACCAACUUCAUCCGUUUCACGCACAACAUUUUUUAGAACCAUGCUUCCCCAGGCAUCCCGAAUUUGCUCCUCCAUCCACGGGGACUGAGAGCCAUUACUAUUGCUGUAUUUGGUAAGCAAAAUACGAACAUCAGGCUCGAACCCUUUAAGAUCAACGUUCUUGAGCAGAUCACGAAGCAUAUCGAAAAACUGCAGUGCGGAGGUGUAGUCAAACAACUCAGCAGGCGUGGGAACAAUCAGCACAUCAGCAGCACAUACGACAUUAAUCGUGCCGAUACCCAGGUUAGGCGCGCUGUCAAUAACUAUGACAUCAUAGUCAUGAGCAACAGUUUCAAUGGCCAGUCGGAGCAUCAGGUGUGGAUCGGUGGGCAGUUUACCUUCAUCAAAUUUGCCCAUUAACUCAGUUUCAAUACGGUGCAGAGCCAGACAGGAAGGAAUAAUGUCAAGCCCCGGCCAGCAAGUGGGCUUUAUUGCAUAAGUGACAUCGUCCUUUUCCCCAAGAUAGAAAGGCAGGAGAGUGUCUUCUGCAUGAAUAUGAAGAUCUGGAACCCAUCCGUGAUACAUUGAGGCUGUUCCCUGGGGGUCGUUACCUUCCACGAGCAAAACACGUAGCCCCUUCAGAGCCAAAUCCUGAGCAAGAUGAACAGAAACAGAGGUUUUGUAAACGCCUCCUUUAUGGGCAGCAACCCCGAUCACCGGUGGAAAUACGUCUUCAGCACGUCGCAAUCGCGUUCCAAACACAUCACGCAUAUGAUUAAUUUGUUCAAUUGUAUAACCAACACGUUGCUCAACCCGUCCUCGAAUUUCCAUAUCCGGGUGCGGUAGUCGCCCUGCUUUCUCGGCAUCUCUGAUAGCCUGAGAAGAAACCCCAACUAAAUCCGCUGCUUCACCUAUUCUCCAGCGCCGGGUUAUUUUCCUCGCUUCCGGGCUGUCAUCAUUAAACUGUGCAAUGGCGAUAGCCUUCGUCAUUUCAUGACCAGCGUUUAUGCACUGGUUAAGUGUUUCCAUGAGUUUCAUUCUGAACAUCCUUUAAUCAUUGCUUUGCGUUUUUUUAUUAAAUCUUGCAAUUUACUGCAAAGCAACAACAAAAUCGCAAAGUCAUCAAAAAACCGCAAAGUUGUUUAAAAUAAGAGCAACACUACAAAAGGAGAUAAGAAGAGCACAUACCUCAGUCACUUAUUAUCACUUGCGCUCGCCGCAGCCGUGUAACCGAGCAUAGCGAGCGAACUGGCGAGGAAGCAAAGAAGAACUGUUCUGUCAGAUAGCUCUUACGCUCAGCGCAAGAAGAAAUAUCCACCGUGGGAAAAACUCCAGGUAGAGGAACACACGCGGAUAGCCAAUUCAGAGUAAUAAACUGUGAUAAUCAACCCUCAUCAAUGAUGACGAACUAACCCCCGAUAUCAGGUCACAUGACGAAGGGAAAGAGAAGGAAAUCAACUGUGACAAACUGCCCUCAAAUUUGGCUUCCUUAAAAAUUACAGUUCAAAAAGUAUGAGAAAAUCCAUGCAGGCUGAAGGAAACAGCAAAACUGUGACAAAUUACCCUCAGUAGGUCAGAACAAAUGUGACGAACCACCCUCAAAUCUGUGACAGAUAACCCUCAGACUAUCCUGUCGUCAUGGAAGUGAUAUCGCGGAAGGAAAAUACGAUAUGAGUCGUCUGGCGGCCUUUCUUUUUCUCAAUGUAUGAGAGGCGCAUUGGAGUUCUGCUGUUGAUCUCAUUAACACAGACCUGCAGGAAGCGGCGGCGGAAGUCAGGCAUACGCUGGUAACUUUGAGGCAGCUGGUAACGCUCUAUGAUCCAGUCGAUUUUCAGAGAGACGAUGCCUGAGCCAUCCGGCUUACGAUACUGACACAGGGAUUCGUAUAAACGCAUGGCAUACGGAUUGGUGAUUUCUUUUGUUUCACUAAGCCGAAACUGCGUAAACCGGUUCUGUAACCCGAUAAAGAAGGGAAUGAGAUAUGGGUUGAUAUGAACACUGUAAAGCCCUCUGGAUGGACUGUGCGCACGUUUGAUAAACCAAGGAAAAGAUUCAUAGCCUUUUUCAUCGCCGGCAUCCUCUUCAGGGCGAUAAAAAACCACUUCCUUCCCCGCGAAACUCUUCAAUGCCUGCCGUAUAUCCUUACUGGCUUCCGCAGAGGUCAAUCCGAAUAUUUCAGCAUAUUUAGCAACAUGGAUCUCGCAGAUACCGUCAUGUUCCUGUAGGGUGCCAUCAGAUUUUCUGAUCUGGUCAACGAACAGAUACAGCAUACGUUUUUGAUCCCGGGAGAGACUAUAUGCCGCCUCAGUGAGGUCGUUUGACUGGACGAUUCGCGGGCUAUUUUUACGUUUCUUGUGAUUGAUAACCGCUGUUUCCGCCAUGACAGAUCCAUGUGAAGUGUGACAAGUUUUUAGAUUGUCACACUAAAUAAAAAAGAGUCAAUAAGCAGGGAUAACUUUGUGAAAAAACAGCUUCUUCUGAGGGCAAUUUGUCACAGGGUUAAGGGCAAUUUGUCACAGACAGGACUGUCAUUUGAGGGUGAUUUGUCACACUGAAAGGGCAAUUUGUCACAACACCUUCUAUAGAACCAGCAUGGAUAAAGGCCUACAAGGCGCUCUAAAAAAGAAGAUCUAAAAACUAUAAAAAAAAUAAUUAUAAAAAUAUCCCCGUGGAUAAGUGGAUAACCCCAAGGGAAGUUUUUUCAGGCAUCGUGUGUAAGCAGAAUAUAUAAGUGCUGUUCCCUGGUGCUUCCUCGCUCACUCGACCGGGAGGGUUCGAGAAGGGGGGGCACCCCCCUUCGGCGUGCGCGGUCACGCGCACAGGGCGCAGCCCUGGUUAAAAACAAGGUUUAUAAAUAUUGGUUUAAAAGCAGGUUAAAAGACAGGUUAGCGGUGGCCGAAAAACGGGCGGAAACCCUUGCAAAUGCUGGAUUUUCUGCCUGUGGACAGCCCCUCAAAUGUCAAUAGGUGCGCCCCUCAUCUGUCAGCACUCUGCCCCUCAAGUGUCAAGGAUCGCGCCCCUCAUCUGUCAGUAGUCGCGCCCCUCAAGUGUCAAUACCGCAGGGCACUUAUCCCCAGGCUUGUCCACAUCAUCUGUGGGAAACUCGCGUAAAAUCAGGCGUUUUCGCCGAUUUGCGAGGCUGGCCAGCUCCACGUCGCCGGCCGAAAUCGAGCCUGCCCCUCAUCUGUCAACGCCGCGCCGGGUGAGUCGGCCCCUCAAGUGUCAACGUCCGCCCCUCAUCUGUCAGUGAGGGCCAAGUUUUCCGCGAGGUAUCCACAACGCCGGCGGCCGGCCGCGGUGUCUCGCACACGGCUUCGACGGCGUUUCUGGCGCGUUUGCAGGGCCAUAGACGGCCGCCAGCCCAGCGGCGAGGGCAACCAGCCGAGGGCUUCGCCCUGUCGCUCGACUGCGGCGAGCACUACUGGCUGUAAAAGGACAGACCACAUCAUGGUUCUGUGUUCAUUAGGUUGUUCUGUCCAUUGCUGACAUAAUCCGCUCCACUUCAACGUAACACCGCACGAAGAUUUCUAUUGUUCCUGAAGGCAUAUUCAAAUCGUUUUCGUUACCGCUUGCAGGCAUCAUGACAGAACACUACUUCCUAUAAACGCUACACAGGCUCCUGAGAUUAAUAAUGCGGAUCUCUACGAUAAUGGGAGAUUUUCCCGACUGUUUCGUUCGCUUCUCAGUGGAUAACAGCCAGCUUCUCUGUUUAACAGACAAAAACAGCAUAUCCACUCAGUUCCACAUUUCCAUAUAAAGGCCAAGGCAUUUAUUCUCAGGAUAAUUGUUUCAGCAUCGCAACCGCAUCAGACUCCGGCAUCGCAAACUGCAUCCGGUGCCGGGCAGCCACAUCCAGCGCAAAAACCUUCGUGUAGACUUCCGUUGAACUGAUGGACUUAUGUCCCAUCAGGCUUUGCAGAACUUUCAGCGGUAUACCGGCAUACAGCAUGUGCAUCGCAUAGGAAUGGCGGAACGUAUGUGGUGUGACCGGAACAGAGAACGUCACACCGUCAGCAGCAGCGGCGGCAACCGCCUCCCCAAUCCAGGUCAUGACCGUUCUGUCCGUCACUUCCCAGAUCCGCGCUUUCUCUGUCCUUCCUGUGCGACGGUUACGCCGCUCCAUGAGCUUAUCGGGUCCACUCGCGAACGCAGAAAGGCCCACCCGAAGGUGAGCCAGUGUGAUUACAUUUGCGGCCUAACUGUGGCCAGUCCAGUUACGCUGGAGUCAGUAGUAUUUAGGUGACACUAUAGAAGCGGCCGCCUAUCCCCUGUGUGCCUUGGCAGUCUCAGAAUGAUACGGCGACCACCGAGAUCUACACUCUUUCCCUACACGACGCUCUUCCGAUCUCACUAACCACUCAAUGAAAGAACUCUUAAGCGUCUCAAUUUGAACAGCGCCUUAUGUAAUACAUUGUUACUCAAGGAGCAAUAUGCGGGACCAGGUGAAGAGUAAGGUUGCAAUGCAAUGAAAGUUCGCAGACGCUUCAGUUUACCCAGGUCUUUGAACCUCUGCAUCACCUCGUAUGUACGACGAGUGAAUGACAUAUGGCGAGUCUUUUCAGGAUCUGGAAAGACCUUGUUAUUUUCCAGCUUAUCAUUUAAAGUGACACACGUUUCUCCAGCAAUAGAUUGAGCCAUAUCACUGAUGAGAUGAUGCAUCAGAUAACGAUGUUCAUUGCUGCUUGAUCGCUGGAAAAACGAUCUUGAUAAUAAUAGCUUAAAACAAGAAUAGAAGUCUUCUAUCGGCUUCUUUCCUCCUGCAUCUGGCAGAAAUCCUUGGGCCAUCCAUAACAACACUAAUUCAUCCAUAUAGAAUUCAUAUUCUUUUGGAAGUAUAGAACAGAAAACAUACAAUUGUUUCAAGUGUGAAGGAAGAUGAUGGUAGCUCAACCUCAAGGCUGGAACUAUGCCGCCCUGGUGUUCUGAUAUAUCCCACAUUUUGCUAUUAAGUACAUUUUCCCAUUCAUCAACAUAAGGUUUAGUGCGCAAGAGGCCCCCCAGUGUUUCAACAGCCAAUGGCAGUCCUCCGCACCUUUGAACUAUUUUCUGGCCGAUCUCCUGCAGGUCUGGCAGAUCACUGAAAUUGGACCUUCCCAGGGCAUGCUUUGCAAACAAUGACAGGCUAUCCUCAAAUGACAGUUCGUUCACAAGGUAACAUGGAAGAGCACUCAUCAUUAAUGCAACAUCUUGAUUACAAGUUGUGAGGAUGAUUCUACUCCCAGGGGAUGUCACUUGGAAAGGACGGCGAAGGACAGUCCAGCCAUAUUAGUUCUCAUUCCAAACAUCAUCUAAAACAAUAAGAAACUUCUUCCCCGCCAAUUUCUCUCUCAGCCUAAGUUGAAGCAGAUUCAAAUCCUUCGCAUCGUAACUCCCCGAAACUGCCUCAAGAAUAGUUCUCGUAACCCUAACAACAUCAAAAUCCUCAGAAACACAGCACCAAACUUUGAAAUCGAAAAACUUAUCUACUUUCUCAUCAUUGUAGACAAGCUGAGCAAGGGUGGUCUUACCCACACCACCCAUCCCUACAAUAGGAAUCACACCAAUCCCGUACUCAUCACACCCCUUAUCACUAAAAAGCAACUUCAAGAUUUCCUCUUUAUCAUUAUCCCUACCAGAAACAUAAGAAAGAUCCACUAAAGAAGUACUGGGCAAUCUUUUCCUCUUCAACACCCC